rnacentral:lncRNA from 1 species
AAGUGUUAGUAUCGUCCAACCUUAGAGUUUAUCUUUAGAUUCAUCUUUAGAAGAUCUAUAGUCCAGUGUCUACCCAGUAGUGUGUCCAUAGUCCACCCUUAGUACCUAUAGUCUAGGAUUAAGCAACCCAAUUAGGAUUAGAUAACUAUAGGAUAAAUAGCUUGUUAGGUAGUAUAGAUAGGUUAGACAAGUCUUAGUAGAGUAGGGUCCUAGUUCUGGUAGAAUAAGGUCAUUGUAGUAUAGAUUAGAAUUAUAAUAUAAGUUAUGGUAGAAU